rnacentral:rRNA from 1 species
UUCCAGACUCCUACGGGAGGCAGCAGUGGGGGAUAUUGGACAAUGGGGGAAACCCUGAUCCAGCGACGCCGCGUGAGUGAAGAAGUAUUUCGGUAUGUAAAGCUCUGUCAGCAGGGAAGAAAGAAAUGACGGUACCUGACCAAGAAGCCCCGGCUAACUACGUGCCAGCAGCCGCGGUAAUACGUAGGGAGCAAGCGUUAUCCGGAAUUAUUGGGUGUAAAGGGUGCGUAGACGGGACAGCAAGUUAGUUGUGAAAGCCCUCGGCUUAACUGAGGAACUGCAACUAAAACUAUUGUUCUUGAGUGCAGGAGAGGAAAGCGGAAUUCCUAGUGUAGCGGUGAAAUGCGUAGAUAUUAGGAGGAACACCAGUGGCGAAGGCGGCUUUCUGGACUGUAACUGACGUUGAGGCACGAAAGUGUGGGGAGCAAACAGGAUUAGAUACCCUCGUAG